GCAGAAAAUGUGCUGUGAAAUGUUGAGCUAUAGCCCCUUCUUGAUCUGCAGGAGCAUGGUUGAGGGCAUGCACAAUAAAGGUGCAAUCUAUUCAACAGGAGUCUGAUCUGAGUAACAACUGAGGACUGGAUGAUCCCCUAAACUUGCGUGGAAAUGCUGAACCCUCCGUCAUUCAGCACACAGGAUGGAUGCACAGUGCUGCUGCCUCUGCACAUAAUUUAUGAAUAUGAAGCAGUUAUUAUACAAGGC